rnacentral:sRNA from 1 species
GUUGAUGAGGAUUCUUGGGGUCAACAAUGGAACAGUUUAUUUUCCUUGGAAAAAAACUGGAAUAACCCAUAACACUUGGGUUUCCAGUUGUCUAUUUUGCCAAAGCCUUUUCCUUUUUUUGUUUCUAAUGCGAAAUCAUCAUUGUUUUCUAAGUAUCUGUGGAGGGAAUGACUUGAGAGUGAAGAGUGUGAAGUUUGCCGCUGUGGUCACUGUCCUUGGUUUCUGUGUCUGGGUUAGUGUCACUGACCUGUAGCUUUGGCCCUGCAGACCGGGGAGCUCUGCACAAAGCCAUCAGCCUCGAGCACGCUGUUCACAUCAUCGAGGAGACCCAGCUCUUCCAGGACUUUGAGCCAGUCCAGACCCUGCUGCUGUCUUCAAAGAAGGGCAACAGGUUUGUCUAUGCUGGCUCCAACUCGGGCGUGGUCCAGGCCCCGCUGGCCUUCUGUGGGAAGCACGGCACCUGCGAGGACUGUGUGCUGGCGCGGGACCCCUACUGCGCCUGGAACCCGCCCACAGCGACCUGCGUGGCUCUGCACCAGACCGAGAGCCCCAGCAGGUAUGGGGCGGGAUGCGCUGCCUGGGGAUGUCCCCCAUGUGUGUGGGUGAAUAACACGUGCCGGUUGUUUUGCAGGGGUUUGAUUCAGGAGAUGAGCGGCGAUGCUUCUGUGUGCCCG